CGGCGGGCUCACCUGCACAUGCAGAAACACGUUAUGUUAUUUAAUGCCCGCCCAACGGCCACGCGCCAGGCUCACGCCCAGACGACGUUUACGCGCGCCCUGACGCAGAAACGCAUACACGCCGCUAUGCGGAAUAAUCGCUUACGCCGGAUGCAGGCUCACCGCUUCCACCUGCGGCGGGCCGCUGCCUUAACGUUUUUUCGGGCUCGGAUAUUUUUAGCCGCCACGCGGCACCAGCACGCCCGGGCCCAGGCUUUCUUACGGCGGCGCGCCCAGCGGCGGAAUUUUCGCCCACGGCGGCGGAAAGCCUUUAAUCGCCACCCAGCCACGCGGGGUAUGAAAAAACGCUUUACGCGGUUUAAACACCACUUUUUACGGCAGCAGAAACGGGUUAUAGGUCAGGCCACGCACAUCCUGGCUGGUCACUUCCCAAAAGCUCGCGCCCGGUUACACGCCAUGCCAGCAGCCACGAUAAUACGGCGGAUGGCUACGUUAAUCCGGAAUCACCGGACGCAGCGCAUGCGCCGGCGGUUUGUUCAGGCUAAUAUGAAAGCCACGCGCUUAGCCCGGAAAACGCAUUUCAAACUGGCACACCAGGGUUUUAUACAGCGGGGUGCUGUUCCAGGUAUAACGAUGAAACGCAUACAGAUCCGGCGGAAUGCCGGUCGCAAACGCCGCGCCCUGCACAAACACGCUCGCUUACGCACGAAAACGCGGGCUGCACACCGGGUUGCUCACACGGGUGGUCCACGCGGUAAAGCUGGUUUAUUCGCUGUUCGGGGUUUUAAACACCGGGCUUUCCAGUUAACGCAUCAGAUACACCGCCUGCGGGGUACGGCCGCACGGUUAAAAUUCAAAGCUGUUCACCGGCGCACGCACCAGCGGCGGCGCAUGCGGUUUAAUACGAUGCAGCGCAAAAAAACGCACUUAUUCCUGGCAGCCGCAAAAUUUUUCGCUAAUAAACUGAUGACGACGGCUGCUAUGGCUCAGAUGCUGCAUCGCGGUGGUCAGUUCAUGCUGGCUAAUGUUCGGUUAGGUGCCGCAACGCGCGCAGCCACGAUCUUUGCUCGCCAGCGGAUCAUGACGGCUGCUUUACGGGCUCUGACGAUGAUACACCGGCGGCAGAUGCGGACGACGUUAGGUCAUCAUCGCACGCACCAGCAGCGCCACGCAGGUGCUGCAAUGAUCGGUGCACAGGGUCGCAAAGCCACGCGGCGGCGCCAGGCCCAUAAAGCUGGUGGUGGUACGAAUCGGGGUCUGCAGUUCCACGCCAUGCAGACGAAAACGUUAAUAAUCAUGAAUCAGAAUGCCACGAUGAAUACGUUCACGCGCUUUAUACACGCCGCCGGUCACGCCAUGGCUAUGCGCCGCGCCGCUGGUGCUCAGUUUCACUUUCGGCAGCGCGUUCACCACGGUCGGUUCAUGGCUCGGGCUGGUGGUCGCCAGCAGACGAUGGCCGCC
rnacentral:rRNA from 1 species